GCAGGUUUGCAGAGAGGAUGUUUCAGUGAAGGGGACGUUCUGCUGCAUUCUGGUGGAGGGCUGUCAGAGCAGGCAGAGCCAGGAUGCUGAAGCCCAGCACCACAAACUGACAGGACUGCCUGGGAUUGGUGACAUCUAGAGUGAUACGUGUUGGAUCAUCAGAAGAGAGUGGGAGCAGCACAGCUUGGCUUCGGGAACCUAAAAAUAGGCUGGGGAUUCCUCACCUGUGUCACCCAACCCACUCUGGGACCAUGAAGUAAUCCAAAUGGGGAUUUUGUCCACACUGACUGCUGCGUUGGCAUUCACAGGUUCUUGGCGUUACCACUUGAGUUCCCCUUUCUUUUUCCAAAGGUGGGGACUGGUGUCUGUUGCUCACCCCACUGCCCUGUUCCAUUGCCUGUAUUUUUUUGCAAACUGCUUCUGAAUGCUGCAGACCUUUAUCUUACUCCGCUCUGUUGCAGACUUUCAGAUUUUUGGGCCUGCCUUCUCUCAGUCAGUGUUAGAGUAGACACAGUGACUUUCCAGUGCUGUUUUAACAGAUUGGUUCACUAACCUCAGACCCGUGGUUUGAAAGGUGGUCUCCAAGUCAGCCGCUGGCAGUGCAACAGAUCCAGUACUGGGCUUGCUGUUGCUCAUGGUAAUUGUGAGUCAAAAAUCUACUUUGAAGUGGUUUGUUCCAAAACCCAGUCAGGACCUGGUUUAUCAUUUGAGUUCAGUUUGUCUUUCAGCAGUGUAAAUACAUUAUCCAUGUUAGAGAAUCAUAGAGCUUUCUGUGCUCAGUCGUUCUUUACAUACAUCAAACCUGUUAUUUUUAGGUGAAGUGCAAGAUUUCUUACAUAUGUCACAGUCCGUAUUGUACACCUGCAUCAGCUGAAAAUCAGAAAAGCCUUUCCUGCAUGCAAACUGGCUGGAGCCAGGAACAAGACUAACUGCUUCAUCUGCCUGGUUUGGAAAUUGCUCACAGUGAGGAAUUUGCCUCACAUGGUGUUGGAGUUCUCACUGCUCGCUUCCUGCAGCAGGAGCCUGGGCACAGCAUUUGCUUCUUCAGGAGUCUUCUGGGGGCACUGUACCCCCGCGGGCUAUUACAUUUGUCAGAAACUGUAUGUAACACUUAAAAAAAAAAAAAAAAAAAAAGAGAGAGAGAGAGAGAGAAUAAGAAACUGGGAGUUUUAUGUGAGUCUUUUUUUUUUUUUUCCUUCGGUAUUUUUUGCAGCUUUAUUUUUAAGCUAAGAAUUACACAUGAGCUCUGCUCUUUAGUAAAAACACACAUUAACACCAGUAGUAGCAGUAAACAUCAGAAGUGUGUCAGUAAUACUGUGUCUUCUCCCAUGCUGUCUUCUCCAAAAGUAACACUUCCUAGAGUGACCUGGCAGCAGGAGAAGUAUUGGCUCACGGCAGAUAUUGUGACGACAACCCCAGAAUGACCCGGUGACUGUUACCUGCUAUUUGGUGAGUGGCUCAAGGUCAGAAGGAAAAAGCUGGACUACCAUUUGAGAGGGUGGCUUAGACAAAACUAACAGAUCGUGAAGCAAGCAGCAGCCUGAAAGAAGGCUUUGGAGGCAGAUUGCAGCCAUUUGGGGCUAGAAAAACAUUAGAUUCGUGAGAAAGCUUUUCUUCCACUGUCAAAUAUAUCUUAUUUGUUACCUGCCUCAGAGGGCUCACAUCUGAAAAAUGCCAUUUCUUUUCUUCCUGGAAUGUAAAUGUUCAUUCUAGAUGGUAUAGACAUAAACCUCAAUUUCUCUUCAGCCCUCAAUGGAGGUUUUUGAAUGUGGAAUGAGUCUUUUUGAGAAAUGGAUUUCUUGGUGAAUAAAGCUCUUCUGUACUUUCAGAAAUGAAGGGUGCUUCUGAUAGCCUUCACCUCUUUUCUCUACUAUUUCUCCUUUUUUAGCAAUGUGAGUUUGUUCCAAACAUCUGAAUUCUCACUGGUCUUUGGGAGUGAUGCUUUUUAGCUGAAUGCCUUUGUGAGUGUGAAGGCAUUUUGCUUUUACACAAAAUGUGUGCUACCUGCAUAGCGUAAGAAUAUUUUCCUCCCAGGCUACCUUGCCAACAUGUACCUCACACUACACUGAAGGAGGACAUGCCAUUUCAACCUUCGGUCCUUCUCAGAGCAUCCUCCUUCCCAGAAAUGUGCGUCAAGUGGAGGGGGAAGUAGGUGGUGCGACAGCCUGGGCAACGUUUUCUUACAGUGUAGUGCUACCUUCUUGCUAGGAAGUGACUUAGCACCUUCACCUCUUCUGGGGCAAGGCACUUGACUGCCAAUGGGCAGUGAUUUUCCAAAACCACUGAUCUCUGGUGGUAUGAACUAGUAACCUCAUUUAGUUUUCUGCAGUUCCCACUGCUCCCUUUAAGUGUUUCUGAAUGUCUUUGUGUCUCUCUUGGACACAAAGUCGCAUUCUGACCUCUUUGAAACUCAUUUCAUAUUUCUUAGAAUCAAUAGACUUCAAAUGCAGUAGCAGAAAUACCAACUAGUCAAUAAGUGCAGUCAAGUUAUGUUAGAAGUAAAAGCAAUGUGUUGUAAGGGCAACAUUUUCCUAAGGAACUGCUAUUCGGGCAUAUUUGUUGUUUCAAUUAGUCUGAUUUAGUGGCUCAGUCAGGGGGCUGCAGCCUGUAGCACUCAGACUGUAAUUUGAUUUCUAAAGCUGCCGUUCAGGUACUAAGGAAAUCAAAGUGUGUGGUAAAACCACAUCGUGACAGCAGACGUACAGCCCCUGAUGUGCUUAACGUGCUGUGGAUCUGUCAGGAAGAUACAAGGGUUCACGGCACGAUCACCCGCAUUUCGUACCCCAUCAGAGGUGCAUGUUUUGCUCUCCUGGCUUUGAUCACUGCUCCCCUGGGAGGAGCAUGGAGCGGUGGCAGAAUGGUGGUGUUUUUCCAGAACUGUUGCCCUGAAGGGAUAUUUAAACGAAAAAAAGAAAGUAAAAUUAACGUGUGUGAAAAGUGCCAGAUUGACAGCCUUAGCGAGUAAAACACUUUACCUAUUUGAAGGCUACCCACGUUUUAUCUGCUCGAGCUGUCAGUGCAGUACCACUCCUUAGCGUGAAAUGUUUAUUAUUAUUUUUAAAGCUGUCCCUUGUUUCUCCAAAUUGCUCAGUCCUGCAUCUGAGAAAGAUUCAGGCAGUACUAAUGGGGGUAAGAAGCCGGACUUCUGAAACCUAGGAAGAAACACUGGCAAAUUUGCCCUGCUUUUGGAGAUACUUGAAAUUUGCAGGAGGCUAGAAACGAUUUUACAAUAAAAUUUAUGCAGAAUGUUUCAAGGCGUAGCUCUGCUUUCAAACUAGAAACUGCUGGGAACAGGAGCUUGUUUCUUAGCAAAUCAGGGCUGUAUCGCUGCUGUUACUCUGCAAAGAGACUUGCUCGCUCUCCUCCACGAGCUACGUAACCGAGCUUUUGUCUGGACUUUUGCAGCAUGCUCAGGUGCUGCAGCAUGACUCCCUGCCUUUCGUGGCAGGAAGGUGCAACAUUUGAUUCUUGCUUAUAGAAGUAACACAAAGUUUGAAUCUGAACACCUGAAAUAUUCCAGCCGAGUCCAGUUUAAAGCUACCAUUGUCAUAGCCAGAAACUGAGCUCUGUCCUAAGGGUGGGCAUGUGUCCCCUGUGGGGUCACCACGUUCAGCUGUUCACAGAUCCUGGGGCAGGAGGUCACUGACAAAAGACCAGCCCUCCGGGAGAAAUUAAGAAGCCCAAUACAAUAUCUCUUCCAUAAAAUAUCCAUUACAUUUUUAGGAAAUGCCUUCACAGAAUUUGAAAGAGUGAUGAGAUUUUGAGUAGCAUUCUAACAGGAGGGAGGAGACCCCACACUUGAAAGGGAUACCUGCUAAGCGUAUGAAUAAGGUAGUUGCUCAUUACAAACAGGACUCUGUCCCAGUCCAGAUUUGUGUUCUGGAUGUCAGUAUUCUUACCUGUUUCUGCACAUCUGUCUUCACUGUAUUGUAUUAGUGGUGUGUGCCAUUGUUCCUGAACUGUUAAAAUCGUGGGCUGAGGUAAUUUUGUUUGUAUUUACUGUACUGUCACAAGGCUGUACUAACUGCUAUUCUUCAGUUUCUGUGGUUUAAGAUGGGGGUACUUCAGUCAGUAUUUUUCAACAGGAGCCUUUUUAUCUAUAUCCUUCCUUCGGUUUUAAAGAUCUGAAGCAGGAGUGUGAGAUACAACCCAGCCAUGACUGACCUAUAGCAGCACCAGACACUUACGGGAGCUGUCUCACUUCCCCACCUUUCCCGGCACAGAGACAAGGAGAAAAUGUGGUAGGAUUUACAUGGCAUUGAAAGACUAGGACUCAAAGAGAUGUGAAAUUUGUCUUUGUGGUGGACCUGCUGGACUACCUUCAGUGAUUCAUAACACCUUCCCUUGGUUCGGUUUUCCUCCUAACUUCUCUGAGGAAAGGACCUGCUGUUAUUGUGUGAUCGUAUGGUGUCUAAUACAAUAGGACCAACCUCAGGUAAGACCUUUAGGCACUCCCAUUAUACGAAUGAGAACAAGAUUGUUGGUGUCAGUAAUUAACAUUCUUGUGGGAUUGUUGGAAAUGCUUUGGGAUAAACACCACCUGGAAUCCUUGCCUGGCUUAUGUGGUUUUUAAGCUGCAGAGGAGGUUGAUCCUGUUCACAGGAGAGGGCAUGGAUCGUCUGUCUCUUCUCUUUCUGGGUGUGGAAAAAGUCUUUCAGUCCAAAAACACAUUACAGCACCUCAGUGAGAAGUGGGAUGCUGGAAAAGCAAGGGCAUUGUCAGUGGGGGAAAAGAAUGGAGGCUCGGUUAUCAGCGUGGCUCCACAAAUGAUCUCACCUGAGGACAAAGACUAUAUGACAAUCACCAAAACAGGGAGAAAAACACCAAACUAAGUGUCGCUGAUAACAUUGUGAAUGCCUGUGGCACGGUGUUAUCCCAUGACAAGCUUCCGGAGAUGAAAUCUGGCUCUGGUUCAAUGGAUGGCAAAACUCCCACUGACUGCAGUAACAUCAGGCUUUCCCCUUGGGGUUGCCUGCAUUUCUCUGCUUUUGAGUGCCCAGACAGCCGCAUCCCACAUCAUUAUGCACAUUCUGAUAACAAAUAAAUUAUUCUUUAAAGCAUGGAUUGGAUUCAGUAAGCCCUGCAUUUUGGAUUCUAUUUUCCCUCUAUCUGCACCUGAAAUCCCCGAAUAAACAAACACUGGAUUAGAUCUAAACAGCAACUCUGCUCAGUAAACGAAGCCAUUAAAAGCAUUUCACACCAACUGCUCUGCUCCUAUUUCAGACUCUGUUAAACACGGAGUCAAGCUAAGAAGCUCAGUCGUCCUUCUCAAACUUUCCAGGAGACUAACCGUAGUUAUUGGAAGGUCUGCCUCCAUUUGCCACCCUCUCUAGCUCCAAGUGAGGAGUCGGAAUUGUCCAGCUGUUGACAUCAGGAAGGACAUAAAUAUGUGCUGGGGUUAGAGGCUUUUUGGCAAAUGGCCUGCUAACCUAGAAUUUGCUCUGCAAAGUUGGGAGGAUGACUUUUAACCUCCAAGCAGUUUUCAAAACCACAUCGGUCACCAAUAAAUAUGAAAAAUUAAAAAAAAAAUCUUGUCCCUACUGAAUGAUGAAGGAGAACAGACCUGGGCUCUGUGGUGCUGCGAUCAGUAUGAAGACCAAUAUAGGCAUAAGCAAACUGGUUGCCAGAAUAAGUUUGUGGUUGUUGCUCAUACCUCAUACACCAGGGAGGCAGCACUAGAGAUUAAACUUAAGGUGAGUACCUAAAAGAUGUAAAUCUAAAUGAGUCACGUCUUUGUGCUGCAGCUCCUUCUUACCCCAGAAUUGCCUUAACUAGCUGUUUGAGGAUGCCCAAUAAUGGGAAAUUCUCUAGAUAACAAUAAAUUGGUAUAACAGUUCUGUGCCACCUGACGUCCUGCUAAGCACUGGAGAAGUCAUGAUCAGAAAAACGGACACAACUAGAGCACCACUGACCAGUCCAAUCCUAAUUUCAUUGCUUUUCUUGUCGGCAACAGAUAACACAGUGCAAUUUACAGCAGCCCUGGAAUGUACGGUAGUCCUCGGUGGAAGCCUCAUUACUGGGAGUCACAAAAGGAGUUUUGAUGCUGAAGCCCCUUCCUGGAGCAGCAGUUGCCAACCUGAGCCACAGCGCUUUCUUUUCUUGCAGUUACUUGGAAGGCCAUCAGCAAUGUGGAAACUUAUCCUAAAUGAGGAAAGAAAUAAUUUGGCUCUCCUGCACGUAGUCCAGCGCUGCAAGAGGAUGCGGUACGUUCUCGGCCCAAAGAUAUUUUUCAAAGGACAUUUACCUCUGGCCUGACGGCAGGAAUGACAGAAGACCUUUUUGAAGUUUGACCUGAGGUAUGAAUUUCAGAUGCUUUCAUUUCAGCACAAUAGUUACUCUGGCAUUAUUAAAGGUGACUGAAGAUGGGAUUUUAUGACAGGAAUUGCUAACCAGCUUCGAUAAUAGUUACACUUCCAGAGCCACCUUUUAAUCAGGGCUUCUUUUCUCAGUAUAAAUGAUCACAGUUCAUUGAUGGUAAUCCUUCUGGCAUAUCAACCAUCAGCUUAACGUGGCAAGCAUUAACAUGGAGAAAACCAAACAUCCUUCUGAGGAGGUAAUUAUUCACCACUGUGAGAACGCUCCAGGAUAUUUUCAGUGGAGGACAAGCCUCCCGCUUCCUGACAGAAACACUGGACAAAAUUAUAAAAUAAUGAAGCAGGUUUCACAAAGAAAAACACUUUGGUAUUAGCUGACGCUUUGCAGUCAUGCUGGUGUUCAAGUAAUCAUGCACAUCUCUGCAUCUGUAGGUGCAGAGAUUCACACGUGCACAGGUGUGCUGUGUCAGGCUUCUGCCUUGCAGAAAAGCCUUUAAAUGCACAAAUCUGCAAAUUCCGCUGCCUCAGGGCUCACUUCAGUGGAGCAUCACCGGUGCCUGCAUGGAGAGGGACACCCUUGCCAAAUGGUAAUCAAGGCAAACGGCAAACUUUCCUGUAAUCAGUCCUCAGCUCCUCAGCAGCAGUGUUAGGAUGAGUGUUAAACCUGAAGAAACGAUUUUAAACAUGGGUUGUUUUUUGUGAUAGAAGUGUACUUUUUGGGGAGAUGUACCCAAUUAGCUGUGUUUUGCUGUUGCAGUGCCCCAGGGGCAUGGUUAUUGCAGGGUUUCCGCACCACUUCUUGAGCCUCAGCGCUACGUAAUUAUGCACUGAAGGAGACGAUUCAAUUAGUCAAUAAUAAAACGAGGUGCAAGGAUAGCGUACAGAGCGUAAAAAUGUCAUUUAGUGGGCAGCAGGCCAUGAUGGAAAAUAUAUAAGGGUACACUUCAGAUGAUUAAUGGAGGAGGAAUGUAUAUUUAUAGCUCUCAUUGUGUCCUUUGUAAGGAUACGCAAUGCAACAGU